CUUGCUCCGGAAGAUCUAGUGGCGAACGGGUGCGUAACACGUGAGAAACCUGCCCCGAACUUGGGAAUAACAGCCGGAAACGGCUGCUAAUACCGAAUACCGUCGCAGCGUCGCAUGGCGCAGUGACGAAAGCUUUAUGCGGUUUGGGAGGGUCUCGCGACCUAUCAGCUAGUUGGUGAGGUAACGGCUCACCAAGGCAUCGACGGGUAGCUGGUCUGAGAGGAUGAUCAGCCACACUGGGACUGAGACACGGCCCAGACUCC
rnacentral:rRNA from 2 species